rnacentral:rRNA from 1 species
CCUACGGGUGGCAGCAGUGGGGGAUAUUGCACAAUGGGGGAAACCCUGAUGCAGCGACGCCGCGUGUGGGAAGACGGUCUUCUGGAUUGUAAACCACUUUCCCCAGGGACGAAGAGGACGGUACCUGGGGAGGAAGCUCCGGCUAACUACGUGCCAGCAGCCGCGGUAAUACGUAGGGCGCGAGCGUUGUCGGGAAUUACUGGGGGUAAAGGGAGCGUAGGCGGGGAUGAAAGUUGGGUGUCAAAACUACCGGCUCAACUGGUAGUCGCACUCAAAACUGCAGCUCUUGAGUGAAGUAGAGGCAGGCGGAAUUCCUAGUGUAGCGGUGAAAUGCGUAGAUAUUAGGAGGAACACCAGUGGCGAAGGCGGCCCGCUGGGCUUUUACUGACGCUGAGGCUCGAAAGUGUGGGGAGCAAACAGGAUUAGAUACCCCUGUAGUC